UUGAAGAUAAAUUUUAUUUCCAGAAAAUGAGCACUCCUUUUUGGGUUACAGUUGCUCACUCAUUUUUCCUUAAAUGCAAAUUGAACCACAGGGGAGAAGUGGGAGCUGAAUGAGUGCUUUCAUUGCAGAAGGUAGGCUGCUACAGUAGAAACGAUAAACUUUGGACUCUCAUGAAAUUUUGAUUACAUUCCAGUUUGGUCCCUUAAUAUCUGUGUGACAACAGUUAAAAGAUGCUGUCCUCUGAGCCUCGGCUUCUUCAAAUGCAAAAGGAAGAUGCUAAUAUCACCUUCCUUCAUAAGCAUUAAAUGAAAUAAUGUCUUUGCAAACACCCAGUAUGGAGCCGAGCACACGGUAGGAAUACAUAAAAUGUAAGCUUUUACCCUCCCUUCAAUGAAAUGAAUCAAUACAUGUCCAGCCUGCCCUCCAGAGUUUAAGAAGUUUGUCCAAGGUCACACAGCGAGUAAAUAUGCAAACCAGAAAGGGACCCUACCCUGUGUGCUCUCUACUCCACAGUCCUGAGGCCCUCCUGCGUGCUGCUAUGGGGGCUACAAAGACCAUCAUGUCUGGACCUUGCCCUCAAGGAGCUCACAGUCUAAAGAGGGAGAACUGAAGAUGCACGCACAGAAUUGCCACCAGGGAACCGUUGUCACCUUUGGUGCUACAGGUGAAGUGGGAGAAGAGGUGACUGCUUCCAGAGGAGGGGGACCAGACUUCACAAGCACAUACGAGUCCUGUGGCACAGCGUGUUGAAGAUCUUGUCUAGCGUGGGGCCUGGCAGUCAGCAGGAACUCAUUGGAUGUUGGAUAGAUGGAUGGACAACAGUGAGUGGACAAUAAGGGAUAUAAGGUGGUUGGUUAGCUGCCUGGCCAGUGGCCAGAGGGGUAGAUAGAUGAACAGAUGGUGUGGUGAAUGAGAAGAUAGUGGAAUAUGGCUAGACAAGUGGGAGGGUGAGUGCUAGGGUCUGAAUGGCUGUGUUCCCCCCACCAAAUUUAUGAUGAAAUCCUAAUCCUCAGUGUGAGGGUGUCAGGUGGUGGGGUCUUUGGGAGGUAAUUAGGCUGUGAGGGUGGAGGCUUCAUGGAUGGUAUUAGUACCCCAGAGGUUUCCCUCUCCCUCCUGCCCCGUGAGGACCCAGUGAGAAGGCCCUUCCCCCACACCAAAUCUGCUGGUGCCUUGAUCUUGGACCUCCAGCCUCCAAAAGUGUGAAAAAUAAGUUUCUGUUGUUUACAAGCCACCAUCUAUGAUACUUUUUUUUUUUUUUUUUAUAAAAGCCCAAACAGAUUUCAACAAUGGGAAAACAAGUGGUUUAGUAAGUGCGCUCAUAAGUGGCUGUGUGGACAAGCAGCUGUUAGAAUGAAUGGGAAAAUGAUGGUGGGUAGGUGGGUGAGUGGUUGGAUAGGUGGAUGGAUGGAUGAUGGGCAAGUGUGUGCAUCUGAGGAUGGACAGGUGGGUGGACACGGUUGGUGGAUGGGUAGUGAGGUGGGCAUGCACUGAAUGAGUGUGUGAGGUUAGAUGGAAGAGGGGGUGGGGAGGUGAGUAGAUGCAGUGAAGGACGAUGGACAGGGCUGGCAGGGUUGGAGGGGUGUAUGAAGAGGAGCCCGGGAAAUGAAUGGGUCCAAGACUUGACCAAGUGGCUGGAGGAGAAAGAAAAAGGCAAAAGAUCACUCCUGC
ensembl:lncRNA